AAGGUCUUUUCUUUGCAGUUGUGGGUACACCUGGUAAUUUUUCUCUUAAUCUCUCACUGUCCUUAUAAGAGCUUGUUCCUUGUCUCUGCUCUUCACUAUGUGGGGAUCUGAUGAGAAGAUGGCCAUCUGCACACCAGGAAAGGAUCCUCAUCAGACACUGAAUCUGUUGGUGUCUUGACCUGGGACUGCCCUGCCUCUGAAACUGUAGCAUAUUUCGCAGAAGUGCCUGUCACUCCAGCUCCGCCCUGUGUAGACGGAUGGGAGAGAAUCCCCUCCAAUGACAGUUUCAGCACAAAUCUCAGCAUCUCUCUGCAACUCCAUGGGAGGACAAGAUCUAAAAAUGAAACCUGUAGGGGCCUAUUAAGUGAAGCUAGGCAUCAAGGGAAAGGUCGCCAAGACAACUGGCAUUUUAUCGGCUCAUAUAUCUCUGGUCAUAUCUACUGGGAUGAACAAUCCAAUGUGGCUUUCUGUACGGUGACAAGUGUCUCAUCAGAUUUAUGUGUUUUUCUGGAUUGAUAAAUAUUUUGGCACUGCAUAGACA